rnacentral:rRNA from 1 species
UACGUAGGGCGCAAGCGUUGUCCGGAAUUAUUGGGCGUAAAGAGCUCGUAGGUGGCGUGUCGCGUCUGCCGUGAAAGCCCAUGGCUUAACUGUGGGUCUGCGGUGGAUACGGGCAGGCUAGAGGCUGGUAGGGGCAAGCGGAAUUCCUGGUGUAGCGGUGAAAUGCGCAGAUAUCAGGAGGAACACCGGUGGCGAAGGCGGCUUGCUGGGCCAGUUCUGACGCUGAGGAGCGAAAGCGUGGGUAGCAAACAGG